GAGCAAAUCCCAGAAAUAACGUCCCAGUUCGGAUUGUAGUCUGCAACCCGACUACAUGAAGCUGGAAUCGCUAGUAAUCGCGGAUCAGAAUGUCGCGGUGAAUACGUUCCCGGGUCUUGUACACACCGCCCGUCACACCAUGGGAGUCGGAAAUGCCCGAAGUCAGUGACCUAACCGAAAGGGAGGAGCCUGCCGAAGGUGGAGCCGGUAACUGGGGUGAAGUCGUAACAAGGUAUC
rnacentral:rRNA from 1 species